GUAUAUAAAAUUAUCUAACAAUGAAGGUAUACUGGCUUGACAAGAACAAGAGAGAUUCUACGUGGUUUAUCGUUUAUACAACAGGUUCCUCUAACCAGACUAAAGUACCGCCAGGUUCUUUGAAUUUCAAACAAAUUAGUUAUAAAUACUCAAGCCAUGCUUCGCUAUUAUUUUCCAGUGUAACAGGGUAUCUAAUCCUGGUUCAUAUCUGAAACUUCUUGGCUUCAACCUAAGUCUACCCCUACAAGAACUCAAUUACUUAGCCUAAUAAACAAAUUUCACCUCUUAUUAUUUUAAGCACUAAAUAAGGAAGACUCAUUUUCAUCUAACCGAUGACUUAUACUUCUUCACUGGACCUUCAAGUCUAACCGCGGAUGCUGGCACAAGUUUUAACCUGGCCUAAGUGGUGUUUACUUAAUCCAACUUUUGUUGAUUUUUAAAUUCUUAGUACUGCUUUAAUUUUUUCGUCAUAUAUUUCACUCCGAUCUAUCUAUUCGCUCUCAUAUCAAAUAAGAACAGGUUUUUUGUUUACUACCAGAAUUUGCAUGUACUUUCCAACCC
rnacentral:rRNA from 1 species